CUUGACGACCAUAGAGCAUUGGAACCACCUGACUCCCAUCCCGAACUCAGCAGUGAAACGAUGCAUCGCCGAUGGUAGUGUGGGGCUUCCCCAUGUUGAGAGUAGGUCAUCGUCAAGA
rnacentral:rRNA from 1 species